rnacentral:lncRNA from 1 species
UAAAACCGCAGCGGAAAAUAUAAAUUAUAAAGCAAAAUUCGAAACCCUAAAACAGGAUCCAUGCGAAAACAGACAUUGAUUCGGUGUUUAAGAGAUUAUACCGAUUAUGAAAGGCUUUGACAUGACGCCCCCAAAUUUUGGUAUCUCCCAACCCGACAGAUGGUGCUACACGAUAAUACAAUUCAUACAGUCAUUCCACUGAG